CCUUUCUCUAUUCCCUCCCCCUCCCGAGCUCGUCGGCGGAGGGCGAAAAAAUGGCGGCGGCGAGCAAUAUGGGAGGAGCUGCUGCCCUGCCCGACAACUCACUCGAGUUUCUACUGGAUCUGGUUGACAGGUUUCCGCUCAGAGAGGUCAUUGCGGACGUUCAUCAGUCAGAUCCGUUGGCGGUGAGGCUCGACCCCCCCUGCGCGGUUGUGGUUGGACAGUUCGGCGGCGCUGUUGAGCACAUGAAUUCUGGCGGCUAGAAGAAAGAAUCACCAACCCAGUCCAUGGAAUCGACCGGCAAGGUGAACCCAGAGGUGCCGGGGUGGCCCAGAAGGUUGAGAAUUGGCCGUGCACCUCCGGAUAGGGCACCCUGCCCCUGGUAGAGUCACUCCACUGGAAGAAACAAUUCAGAUGUACAACCAUCGGACAAUGUAGAGAAACCAGAGAUUGGAAUGAGUUUUGACUCCCUAGGGAAGCCUACGAUUUCUAUAAGUUGUAUUCUAGGGAGCUUGGAUUUGGUAUAAGAUAUGGCAACUGUCGUCUGAAUGUCGAGCGGACAAAUUGUAUGCAGGAGAUCGUCUAUGGAUGCUUGGGAAAUCCUGAGCAGCGGAAUAGCUGGUCUUGCCGGUGCGAGUGCCCUUAAAUGAUCAGACUUUUUAGAGCUGCUCACAAUGGAUGGUUGAUAGGUGAGCACCGGUCAAGCCACAACCAUUCAAUGUCCCUUACUUGCGGUGAAAAGGUUCAUUGGCCGUCCCACAUGCACAUAGAUAUGUACACAAAAGACUUGGUGAAGCAGCUUAGGGGGAACAAUGUGAACCUCAACAAGGUGUACACCAUAGUUGGCAGCUUCUCCUGUUCAUCUCAAAAUGUGCCUUUGACAAAGCAGUCUUCUCCUGAAUCUGUGUGGCCGGAUAAGUCGAGACCAGGCUGCCGAUGAUGUGAACAAGACCCUUGCUGUGUUUAAAGAGAUACAACGCAACGACCCAGAGUUCACCUACAGAAUCCAAGGGGAUGACAAAAGCAGAAUCAAGAAUCAUGUGGACAAAUGAAAAUAGCAAGCUGCAGUACAAAUUCUUUGGUGAUGUCAUCGUUUGGCACAAUGUAUCGGACUAAUUAAUCUCUAUGACAUGCCCUUUGGGUUGUUUGCUGGAGUGAACAAUCACUUCCAGAGCAUAAUUCUAGCUGGUGUCUGGAUGCGUGACGAGUAAGUCGGGAGCUUCCAAUGGGUGUUCUCUGAAUUCAUCAACGUGAUGAGGGAUCAAGCGAGAGACAUGGAAGUUGCAAUCAAGACUGAGUUACCCGGGACUGUACACACCUACUCGGUGGCCCCGAUGAUACGGUCGGCGGCAGCGGUGGCGUUAUCUCCACAACGGGGAUGUUCUUCCUCCACAUGUACAUGCUUUAGCAAAUACAUAUAUUUUUUCAAGUACUACUACAUACAUAAGAAUUACUCUGAACUUCUGAAGUGUGAAUUGCCUAUAUAGUGUCAGUUUUCAGAAAACAACCUUGUUUAUGUGAUGGUUCAAUGGCCGAAUGAUAUUAUUCUUGACAAACUUGUUUUAUAAAAACAAAUGGUGUUGCAGACACGCGUCUUAGGAAAAUCAACAAGCAGUAUUGGUGGUUUGUGAGAACUGAACCUUUGAAUCCAUUGAGAACCAGGGUGCUGGUAUUUUGAGUCCAGUGAGAACCUUUGAAUUAUUUGUUCAGGGCAUUGUUCAGAAUCUUUUGAUAGGGCCUAGUUAGUCCUAAAAGCAUACAAUCAUGUUGGAGUACUUGUCAUAAAAGUUCCUCUCAUUUCACUCCAUUCAAAAAGCAAUUGCAGAUUUAUACGACUGAUCAGGCUUUAAACUUUGCUGAUUGUUCGCGGAGGGACAACUUGACAGCAUGCUGUUUCAUCAUAUCAUUGCAAAUACUCUUCAUUCAAAACUCUUGUGCCUUUUGUGAACACACGGUAUAGUCGAGCAUUCAUAUGGUGACUUCCAACUACAGAAUUAUCUCUGAAUCGGUGAAUCCACAUCCUGGAAGCGGAAUAAUCUCCAAACCUCAUGCUCGAAUUGGUUUGCACAAGUAAUUAUUUACCAACUGGAUUCAAAUAUGCAAAGUCUUCCAAGCAAAACUGCAGGAAGCAAGAAACCAAGCAGUAGUUUGUAAUCCUGUUGAGUUUACUGAAUGGACUUCAUGUUUACUAAAUGUUGAGUUUACUGAAUGGACAUCAUAUUUCAGAA